GAGCCGUUAUUUCUAAUCGCGAUGACCCUUGCCUUCACGCGGCAAGGGUCACAGGUUCGAACCCUGUACCGCCCA
rnacentral:tRNA from 1 species